UACGUAGGGCGCAAGCGUUGUCCGGAAUUAUUGGGCGUAAAGAGCUCGUAGGCGGCUCGUCGCGUCGGAAGUGAAAGCCCGUGGCUUAACUGCGGGUCUGCUUUCGAUACGGGCGGGCUAGAGGCAGGUAGGGGAGAACGGAAUUCCCGGUGUAGCGGUGAAAUGCGCAGAUAUCGGGAGGAACACCGGUGGCGAAGGCGGUUCUCUGGGCCUGUACUGACGCUGAGGAGCGAAAGCGUGGGGAGCGAACAGG
rnacentral:rRNA from 1 species